CCUGACGGUAGUCGUAUGCUCGUCUCCGAGACUAAGCCAUGCAAGUCCAAGUACACGUCCUUGAACGACGGAAACUGCGAACGGCUCAUUAAAUCAGUUGCGAUCUACUCGGCGUUCCGCGCCGCCGGAUAACCGUAGUAAUUCUAGGGCUAAUACGUGCGAAGCGCCCGAAGCCGCGAGGCGACGGGCGUUCUCGCCGGAUGUAGGAACCGACCCGGGGACCGCCGGGGCAACCCGGCGCCCCCGAGACGGGGCGAACCACGGUGAAAUGACGGAUCGUCGGCCCCGCGCCGGCGACUCGCCGAAUGAGUUUCUGACCUAUCAACUCGAGACGGCGGGGUAGAGGCCCGCCGCGGUAACGACGGGUAACGGGGAAUCAGGGUUCGAUUCCGGAGAGGGAGCCCGAGAAACGGCUACCACUUCCAAGGAAGGCC
rnacentral:rRNA from 1 species